UACGAAGGGUGCAAACGUUGCUCGGAAUUAUUGGGCGUAAAGCGCACGUAGGCGGCUUUGCAAGUCGGAUGUGAAAUCCCUCGGCUCAACCAAGGAAGUGCAUCCGAAACUGCAGAGCUUGAGUACCAAAGAGGAUCGCGGAAUUCCCGGUGUAGAGGUGAAAUUCGUAGAUAUCGGGAGGAACACCAGUGGCGAAGGCGGCGAUCUGGGUGGAUACUGACGCUGAGGUGCGAAAGCGUGGGGAGCAAACAAG
rnacentral:rRNA from 1 species